AACCCAUGGUGAGGGCAUCAGCUCAAGAGAUCCUUGUAUCUCUCCCAUGCAUCGUAGAGUGUCUCUAAAUCAAUAUGAAUAAAAGAAGAGAUAUAAUUACGUAAUUU
rnacentral:snoRNA from 1 species